rnacentral:lncRNA from 1 species
UUGGGAUUUAGUAAUAUUUGAUUUAAUAGUAUUAAUUCAAUGAGAAAUAAUUAAAAGAAUAGAUCUAAUUAGAGAUGUCAUAGGGUCAGAUUCAGAACGGAUUUUUAAAAAUCUAAAUCUGAAUCUGACUCCAAACCUAAGAUCCGAAUCCGAACCCAACCGAUUUUAAAAAUUCAUAUCCAAAUCCGAACCCGACCAAAAAUUCAAAACCCGAAUCCGGAUCUUAAAAUUUGAAUUCGAAAUAAUUAUUUAUUUUUAAUAUUUCAAAAUAUAUUAUAUUAAAUUUAAAUAUUUAAAAUACCAUUUCAAAUAUAACAUCAAAUUUUUAUAUAUAUUAUAUAAAAUGCAAAAUAAAUUCGAGGUUGGGUUCGAGGUGGGUACAGUCAAAAUUCAUAUUUGAAUCUAUAUCCGUUGGGUUUUUAUUUUUGAUAUCCAUAUCCGAAUCCAUAUCCGUAUAGCAUUUGAUAUAUCCGCUCCAUUCGGAUUCGGAUAUCCGUACCCAUUGACAUCCCUAAAUCUAAUAGCUAAAAAUUGUAUAGAAAAAUAACUCAAAUACUAUUGAUAGUAUAGCAAUCAAACUCUAAUACUCUUU